UCAUUUCAUCGUCUACAUCUCUUUGCUUCCCUUUGCUUUAGCUAUCACCUGAGGCGAGCAUGGCUGGGCCUGUUAUUGAGUUUCUGGCUCCUCCUCCCUUUGCAGGUGGCAGUAAGUUACAGUUCUAGAUAGGCGUUGCCAACUGCGUUUUUGGUCACCUCUGGAACCGCGGGGACGCGUUUGACCUGCAUGGCUGCUUGGGUGAGUAACGCUAUUGUUUGGUGUGCAAAGGUGGAUCCAGAUAUGUUGUAUGAUGCUUGUACGGCGGACUUUGUUCCAGUCAUUCGGUUCGUUGGUUAGCGGCGUAGGUGCCCUACGGUGAUCGUAUCGUUCGAUCGGCUGGUUUGUUGUGAUCGUUGUCUAGUCGCUGCUGCUUUGUUUGGUUAGCCGAUGCAGAUGUUUCUUUGGAAUGUUGUCUUUGAUGAAUAAGUUUUAGUUUACUUAGUGGGUUCUGUUGUACUAUGUGGUUUGAUGUUCAGUUGUAAUCGGUGUGCAUUAGAUGAAAUAAAAUCGAUGUGUGUUCUUUCUA